rnacentral:rRNA from 1 species
AUUGAACGCUGGCGGCAUGCCUUACACAUGCAAGUCGAACGGCAGCACGGGGCAACCUGGUGGCGAGUGGCGAACGGGUGAGUAAUGCAUCGGAACGUACCUUUCAGUGGGGGAUAACGUAGCGAAAGUUACGCUAAUACCGCAUAUUCUGUGAGCAGGAAAGCAGGGGAUCGCAAGACCUUGCGCUGAUUGAGCGGCCGAUGUCAGAUUAGCUAGUUGGUGAGGUAAAGGCUAACCAAGGCGACGAUCUGUAGCGGGUCUGAGAGGAUGAUCCGCCACACUGGAACUGAGACACGGUCCAGACUCCUACGGGAGGCAGCAGUGGGGAAUUUUGGACAAUGGGGGCAACCCUGAUCCAGCCAUGCCGCGUGAGUGAAGAAGGCCUUCGGGUUGUAAAGCUCUUUCGGCCGGGAAGAAAUCGCACGGGCUAAUACCCUGUGUGGAUGACGGUACCGGAAUAAGAAGCACCGGCUAAAUACGUGCCAGCAGCCGCCGUAA